CCUUACAAAGUAAGGAGUGGUAGAGGAGCAUCCUGCAAGGACGAAGCCAAAGUGAGAGCGAUGGUGGACGAAACAGGAGAGAGAAUGCCGGAAUGAGUAGCGAGAUACAUGUGAGAAACAUGUAGGCCGAAUAUCUAAGGAUUCCUGGGUAAAGCUAAUCUUCCCAGGGUUAGUCGGGGCCUAAGGCGAGGACGAAAGUCGUAGUCGAUGGAUAACAGGUUGAUAUUCCUGUACUACACAUAAUCAGAACUGUGGGGACGCAGGAGGAUAGGGAAACCGGGGAAUGGAAAGACCCGGUCAAGCGUAAAGCUGUGGGAGAUAGGCAAAUCCGUCCUGUAAGUGAAGACGUGAUGAGGACUGAAAAAAAGUAAGGAAGUUUCCGAAUCCACACUGCCGAGAAAAGCCGCUAUUGCGUUAUGUGUACCCGUACCGUAAACCGACACAGGUAGAUGAGGAGAAAAUCCACAGGCCGACGGGAGAAGUGUUGUUAAGGAACUCGGCAAAAUGACCCCGUAACUUCGGGAUAAGGGGAGCCUCGCAAGAGGCCGCAGAAAAGAGGCACAAGCAACUGUUUAGCAAAAACAUAGGUCUAUGCGAAACCGUAAGGUGAAGUAUAUGGGCUGACGCCUGCCCGGUGCUGGAAGGUUAAAAGGAGAGGUCAGCGCAAGCGAAGCUUUGAAUUCAAGCCCCAGUAAACGGCGGCCGUAACUAUAACGGUCCUAAGGUAGCGAAAUUCCUUGUCAGGUAAGUUCUGACCCGCACGAAAGGCGUAAUGAUUUGUGCACUGUCUCGACAACACGCCCGGUGAAAUUGAAGAACCAGUGAAGAUACUGGUUACCCGCAACAGGACGGAAAGACCCCAUGGAGCUUUACUGCAGCCUGAUACUGGGAUUCGAUGAUAUAUGUACAGGAUAGGUGGGAGGCUAAGAAGCGAGAACGCUAGUUUUCGUGGAGCCGCCGGUGGGAUACCACUCUUAUGUCAUUGAAUUUCUAACCUGCAUCCGUAAUCCGGGUGAGGGACAAUGUCAGGCGGGCAGUUUGACUGGGGCGGUCGCCUCCUAAAAGGUAACGGAGGCGCUCGAAGGUCACCUCAGAAUGAUUGGAAACCAUUCAAAGAGUGUAAAGGCAAAAGGUGGCUUGACUGCGAGAGCGACGGCUCGAGCAGGUACGAAAGUAGGACUUAGUGAUCCGG
rnacentral:rRNA from 1 species